GAGAAGCAAAGCCGCGAGGCGGAGCGAACCUCGAAAAAAGUGUCCCAGUUCAGAUUGCAGGCUGAAACUCGCCUGUAUGAAGUCGGAAUUGCUAGUAAUCGCGGAUCAGCAUGCCGCGGUGAAUACGUUCCCGGGCCUUGUACACACCGCCCGUCACACCAUGAGAGUUGGCAACACCCGAAGUCAGUAGCCUAACCGCAAGGGGGCGCUGCCGAAGGUGGGGUUGAUGAUUGGGGUGAAGUCGUAACAAGGUACC
rnacentral:rRNA from 1 species